rnacentral:rRNA from 1 species
UUGUAGGGAGGAGAGGGGUCGUAGGGGAGAUAAGAGAUGGGUGGUGAAGGGUGGAAGUAAGGUAGUGUGUUAAGAGUUGGUUUAGGUUCAAAAUUGAAUUGUGACUUUAGGGGAGUUAUUACGAAUAAGGUGAGGGUUGUAUAGAGGGGGGGAAGUGAUAAAGUGGAGGAAGGGGGGGAUGACGUCAAAUCAUCAUGCCCGUUUAUACGGUGGAGUAUACAUUUGAUACAAGGGUUGGUGCAAAGAGAAGUGAAGGUGUGAAGUGAAGCAAGCUUCAUAAAGCCGAUGUCAGUUAGGAUUGUAGUGUGAAAGUGGAGUACAUGAAGAUGGAAUCGGUAGUAAUGGNGGAUCAGAAUGCCGCGGUGAAUACGUUCCCGGGUUUUGUACACACCGCCCGUCACACCAUGAGAGUUUAUAACACCUGAAGUCAGUGGGCUAACCCUUUGGGAGGCAGCUGCNUAAGGUGGGAUAGAUGAUUGGGGUGAAGUCGUAACAAGGUA